rnacentral:rRNA from 1 species
UACGGAGGGUGCAAGCGUUAUCCGGAUUCACUGGGUUUAAAGGGUGCGUAGGCGGGCUGUCAAGUCUGGGGUGAAAUCCCACGGCUCAACCGUGGAACUGCCUUAGAUACUGACGGCCUCGAGGGAGAUAGGGGCGAGCGGAACUGUGAGUGGAGCGGUGAAAUGCGUUGAUAUUCACAGGAACUCCGGUGGCGAAGGCGGCUCGCUGGAUCUUUUCUGACGCUGAGGCGCGAAAGCUAGGGGAGCAAACGGG